UACGUAGGGGGCAAGCGUUAUCCGGAAUUAUUGGGCUUAAAGCGCGCGUAGGCGGUGUUUUAAGUCUGAUGUGAAAGCCCACGGCUCAACCGUGGAAGGGCAUUUGAAACUGGAGAACUAGAGUGAGGAAGAGGAAAGUGGAAUUCCACGUGUAGCGGUGAAAUGCGUAGAGAUAUGGAGGAACACCAGUGGCGAAGGCGGCUUUCUGGUCUGUAACUGACGCUGAUGUGCGAAAGCGUGGGGAGCAAACAGG
rnacentral:rRNA from 1 species